rnacentral:lncRNA from 1 species
UACGUACAAAAUUUCCCUACCAUUGAUGAGCACAGAGGCCACUUGCCGCUCAUAAUAAUUAACAAGAUCUUGAAACUGAUAGAAGAAAAUUGGUUGGGAUUCCACCCCAACACCGAAUGCUAGAUUUCCAAUACUCUGCCACUACAUAUGGUAGAAACUCCUGAAACUUGUUGCAGAAAUUGAAGGGAUAAGAGAGAAAUUGUUACUUUCGUUGGCAUUGAACAAUGCUAUACUCCUAUAAAUAGGCUUGCAAAAACUGAAAUUUCAUAUCCACAGAACACUUCUGCCUGACUACUAGGUUGUUGGUGUCGCUCGAUGGAGCGUUGUUGAGGUGCAAAAGAGCCCGAAGGAUGUUAUUCCAAAUCGAAAGUGACACCAUCACCUCAGUAAUUAAUCUCACCAUGGAAACACCAAAGCCGCCUACAUCUCCGUUGUCGCCUAGAGAGAAGAAGGGACCAGCAAACCAAAAAACUGAAAGAAUCGACAUGUGGUCAAUAUUGCAGAAUAGACAAUCAUUGUCAGUCCAUCACUGUCCAAUGUGCUAGGGUCGGCAGUGAUCCCACUACACUUUUGAACCACAUAAGGCUAGGAUCCUAACAAUAUAUGGGAUCCUUUAACCCGACAGUGAAAGCCUUUCUCAUUUUCAGGUUAGCCUCAAGCCAGUGAUACGCCAAUGUAGGUCAGGGAUUGAUUCGGCAAUGUCCUACUUCUGUUGGAUCCUCCUACCAGUGGUUAUGUGAUUCUCCACUGUGGGAUCCACUUACCCAUUACUUCUGGUUAUAAAUAGGCCAAUCUUGGUUUUUCCUUGCUACCAAGGCGUUAGGAAGCAAUGGAUAGAUGCCCUUGUUGUCCAACGAAGGUACUCCAUGUCCAGUCCACCGUCCUGUGUUCUUCCUUCAAGCUUUUGUAGUAGAAAACCUUCCACACCACUUUUGCUCCGUAGACAAGAUGUUGCAAGAGAGGUAUCUAAAGAAGAUCUGUCAAGACAGAAUCACUCUAGAUCUAAGAGCACCCGUAUCGCUCCAAUGUGUACAGUAGUCCCAAGCUCCAUUUCUUCAUUGAAUGUCCAAAUAGACUCAACUAGUGUCUUUGUGAAGUGUCAAAGUGGUCUAUAGGAGCACCAAGCUCUUGGUCUAAAAAAAUAACGAAGCUAUUACUAGAGCUAGCGUUAUACUAGAAAAGUAGAACCCUUCUGACUUGGAGAGGAAGAAAAGCUAAAAUACUAAACUAGCUGUUCACAGAGCCUAGGAUGAAAGAAUGGACAUCUUCCUCAACUCCGUAUUUUAGCUUUUCGAGAGCAAUCUAGAAAGUACAGCAUCUAGAAUGUCUCCCAGACUCGUAAAAGAAUAAGCAAGAGCUACAGUAGGAGCCUACGAAUCGAAGCCUGCCUUUUUUCGCGAAGUUUUUAACCACUCUAGUCGUCUCUGCCAAUUUUAACAAUAGAAUGCAACCAUAAUCGUUGUGGUAACUGAAAUGGUCAUUAUGUAUGCUUACCUAGGUCAAGAUCACGUUAGAGCAUCUUCAAGUAUAUAUAGCCAUCGGGCCGUGCGGGACCUACACUGUGUCGUGCCUCAUCGAGCCGUCGUGCCUCACGGGUCGUGCCAGAGGCGUGCUCGUGCCUCGCCUAUGGUCCAUGGCACGGUCCGUGGGCCAUUUGGUCGUGCCGCCCGUUGGGCACGACAAUUUUCACCGGGCCGUGCCGGCCCACAGCCCAAGCACCACAAAGCCUUCAUUGCCAUUCCCAUUCACGUUUUCACUUUUUCAUCAUGAAAUUAAAGACUCACAGAUUGACAAAAUAAUAUGAUAAAAUGAUAAUACUUAAAUCGAGUUGUUUUGUGCAAUGCUGCCUCAUUAAAAACCUUUCUAGGUAAAAAUCACCCUUGUGAGAAACCAAAGGGAAAAAGAGUACAACCAAAAGCUCUUAGUUUUAGAUUUUUAGUGUCAUUAGAGUGGCAAAUUUCACAUAAGUUACAAGAAUAGUUUCACAGUUCACACUCCUACUUCUCCAAGUCCUAGAUACUAAAUGACUUCACAAAAGUGCCGUUGCCUUCAUGGAAUAUAAUCACCACCUCCACCAGAAUCAGCAGCAGAACAGCCACAGCCACUGCCUUCAACAAAAGAUGUAAGGAUACAUAUGUUUGAUAGAAUCUAAACAGGAAUUAUAUAAGCCUUUCAUUACCUCUCCAGUUGUUGACUUGUUGUCUUCGUCUUCCAUCAAGUACCAGCAGUGGUAGAGCCGCUGCCGGUGCCGGUUAUGAGCAUGUUUAAUGUAAUCUUCCUAGGCUUGUGUAUCACCAAUGCCUAGGGGAAGGUCUAGCUUAGCUAUCAGCCUGCAUAACUCACUGCGAGCAACAGCAGGAUCAUACACCCAUUUUUUCAAGCCAUCAGAAUUAAGAGCAAGUUUAGAGUGAACCAUAGUUGCAUGUUUUUGUUUUUUCAUACAACUUUUCAUGUGCUGCCUCAAAUGCCAAGUGCCACCAAAGGAUCUAGUAGUAUAACGCGAACGACAAUGUUUGGAUAUGGCACCGGUUCUCAACCCAGUCUCAUCAUUGAUCUCGUCGAAGUACUGCCAAACAACAUAAACUCGCUUACCAGUGCUGGUGGUUGAGGUACCACGAGUGUUAGUGGAGGCAGCCACUCCCCUAUCCGCAUCGUCGCCAUCGAGGUCAAUGGGCUGCUGCUGCUCAGUGCCAACAGGUUGGUCACUGAGGUCAAUGCCGAAGAAAGCUCUCGCGUCAUCAUGCAAGUCGUCAUCAUCCUCGCGUUCUAGUUCUAAAUCCUCGAGCUCAUCCGGGUGCGGCGCAAGGUCCUCGCCAUCGCCCAGGGGGAUACAGAUCCGCCCCCGCAUUGCGAGCCCAGCACUAGCACCACUGGAUGUGGCCGGCUGAGGACGACCCUGAGCCACCAGACCUCGAUGGGCGCUUUGCCAGCCUGGCCAUGUCCACUCCAAAGGAGGAGGAGGAGGCGGUGUCAAGCACAAACCUACAAUCACUAAAAGAGAAAAGAUGAGAACACAGAAUGAGAGAGUGAGAGACGGAGUAGAUCUAGUGAUCUAGGGUUACAUACCUGCGUUACCGGAGCCCGGUGCCGGAGUAGAAGCGGCCCAUGAGUCAAGAUGAGACACGAGAUAGACAGACAUCCAUUAGAGACGACGGUGAGCGACAGCGGAGCGAGGAAGAUGAACACGAACUCAUGAGGAUAGAGAGGAGUGGAGGGGGAAAGGAGGGAGGAGAGGGUUAGGGUUAGGGAGUUCGGGGUCUCAGGCCGUCAGGCGACAACCGGCGAGGUGGAGGUGCGGCAAGGUCACCGGAGCAGGGGACGGACGGAUGAUCGACAUUCAAGUUUGAGCCUCCGAGGCGACACGCGAAAGGUGAGUAGCAGGCCGACGAGCGGCGGAUCGAGAGAAGACGGGCAGGUGGGGGGUGAUUUUAGGGUUUAGGAGGUGGGCACCGGCGGCAGCGGCAACAUAUAUAUGCAUCGGGGCAUUGGGCCACCUACUGGACCGUGCUCGUGCCGUGCCAUGGGCCGAGGCGACGGCCCAGGCACGUCCUGGUGUCUCGGGUCAUGCUAGCACGGGCCCGUCAAUCGCAGGGCCGAGUCGUGCCGUGUCGGGCCAAAACCCCGUGCCAACGGGCCGUAGGCCAUAUGGAGAUCUAUAUCUUCAAGGGAUUAGCCAAAUCAUUUUCUAUAGGUAAAUUUAGUUAUUGUUGAAGGAAAAAGUCUGCAACAGACUCUAUAAACAACUCUCUAAAUUUAGUACCUCUUUAUCUCGCCUUAUUCGUUCUCUAUUUUUAGAAAGCCUACCUCACUAACUAUUCUUUAUAAAGUCUGUUAAAGUACUCUAAUAUUUUUUUUAUCAAAUCUAUUUAAAUCAGUGAAUUUAAUCUUUUGGAGAUGCUGUUAGUCCGUUGCCACUUUAGCUUUUCUUUGGCAGAUAAAGCCACUAGGACUCCUACCACCAACAAAACGGAUCCAUAUGAUAAGAUUGUUGCUUGUUGUGGCUUCUAGAGUCUAGGCAAAUAUCCGAUUAAAAAAAAUAAGGUGUCAUUUUAGCCCCUUUUUUUUUGCAUGGAUUGUCGGUUCUGUAUUAAUCACUCUGUGUGCAAAACUAUGCAUCCAAUUAAAAAGCGGUGCCAUUUUAGGCCUUGUUUAGCUAAAAAAAUUUAGUAAAAUAGACACGGUAGCAUUUUUAUUUAUAUUUUACAAAUAUUAUCUAAUUAUAGACUAGUUAAGCUCAAAAAAAUUGUCUCACAAAUUAUAUAUAAACUAUAAAUUAAUUAUUUUUUUAUUUAUAUUUAAUGUUCCAUACAUGUGUCGCAAUAUUCGAUGUCUAUAGAAAAUCUGAAAAAAUUUGUAAAAUUUUUUGAACUAAACACGACCUUAGCUUUUUCUUCGUGUGAGAGACAGCAAAGUGAUUGGUAAAAAGUAUCCAAAACUGAGAAUUCUGACAACCUUUGUAAGUACAAAAUAGAGAAAAUCAUCUAUCCAAAACUCACAGAAAAUAAAAACGGAGCAAACAAAAUCUUGCCAAAGCCCAAUCUCAAUUUCAAAUCAAACUCUCAAGAAGAAGUAUGUACACAACUACAUGUCAACUAGCACAGCAACAACCAAAGAACCAAGCCGAAAGCCACGCCCCAACUACCCCCGGGCGGCCUUGCCUACCUGCACGGCUGCACGCGCUACAACGGCCCAGAUGACGCCACGCGUCCGUCGCCGCCGUCCAUCUCGGCCGCCCACUCCGCCGCCCGCCUGCCUGACGCGAACCGCCGCAUGCCACCCAGCCCGGGGGCCGGCGCAGCCGCCACCUCCUUCGUCUCCCUCCGCCUGGUGGCCGCCUCGGCCAGCGGCGGGGACUGGUCGACGCACUCGACGCUGUUGUUCCUGGACCUGCUCCGCCGCAUCAAGAACGCGAACCCGCCGCAGCACCCGGGGGCCCUCGCCCCACCCCCGCCCGCGCCGUUCCCUCCGCGCGGCCUCGGCGGGCGGCCGAGGCGCGCGCGCUCGCGGUCGGAGAGGACCUUGCCGAUGCAGGACACCUUGGGAGAGCCGGGCUCCGGGACGGCGGCUCUGGACGCGCGCCCGCCGCCCGUCUUGGCCUUAUUCUUGGGGAACAUGGCGGGCGGGUGGCCAUGCCCAUGCCCAUGCCGGCCCCGCCCGCCGCCGCCCUGGCCGAGCUUCCCCGAGAGGCCGAUGAUGGGCGCCGCCGUCGGCUUGAGGUUGCCCGAGAACCGCUGCGAGGUGCCGUUGUUGUUGGCGUGGGGGCCGGCGCCGGGGUGGUGGUUCUUGAGGAGGGACUUGGGGUUGGUGUUCUCCUUGAGCGAGUCGUCGCGGUCGUACACGCCGUUGAUCUCGGACCACGUGAUCUCGUCGCCGAUGCGCAGGCGCGUGGACUCCGCCGGGUCGCCGAAGCGCGCGGCGGCGGCGGCGGCCAUGAGAGGGAAGGAAGGGAGCGACCGAGCGAGGGAAAGAGGAGAGGCGGACACGAGAUUGGGAACAGAGGAAAUCGAGCCGUCUCCGGCGUGCGCGUUGGGGUUUUAUGGAGUUUUUUUUCGCUGACUCGUGGAGAUUGAUGUGAUUCCGGGCGGCUGCCAAAUUUACUCCUUGUUUUGCUUCCGUUCCGUGGGCCGGGUCUACAAACGAGUUUAGUUUCUAAACUUUUUUUUUUAAUUUCACGUCACAUUGAAUCUUUUGAUGUAUACAUAAAGUAUCAAAUAUAAACGAAAACAAAACCUAAUUAUAUAGUUUGUCUAUAAUUUGCGUGAUGAAUCUUUUAAACCUGUCUAGUUAGUCUAUAAUAGACAAUAAUUGUUAAAUAUAAAUAAAAAUACUACCGUAGUCAAAGCCAAAAAAUUUCACGAACUAAACAAGGCCUAAACAUUUGUGCGGACGCUCAAUUCUCACCUUUGACCUUGCUAUGCAGUUAAUAUGUUUGUGCUUCAUAUAUUGCAAAGCCAUUGGAUAUAUCAGAGCAACUUCAACACAUAUAGGCCCUGUUUGGAUCCAUGUGUUAGAGUUAGAUUUAGCUAUUUGGGGCUCAAAUAGCCCUAAAGUAUCCAAACAUGAGGGUUAGAUUGGGGUUAUUUGCAUCUAACCCACCCAAAAAACUAUCCCCCCAAAGAGGUGCUUAUUUGGGCUAUUUGGGACUAUUUAAGGCGGGGCCCACAGGAAAAGGGAUCGGCUGUAUCGCACGGGAUCUCCACUCACGAUGCCUCCCAGCCACGAUCCCUCCCAGUUACCAGCACUGCUGCCUCCCAGCUCGCCUCGCCUCCGCCUCUCAACCGCGCCACCACCUCCAAGCCGUGCUGCCGCCUCCCAAUCGUGUCGCCGCCUCCCAACAAUGGCAAAACAGCCCGCAAGGUACCAUAUGGAGUAAUGGAAAAAUGGCCCGCCGCCAGCAAUGGCAAAACGGCACGCAAGGUACCAUGUGGAGCAAUGUCAUUUGUGAGCGGGAGGAGGCCACACAACAGCGGCCACACCAAAUCUGGCUGGGAAGGAGCCAAAUGAAUGGGAAAGUACAUUUAUUGUCAAUUUAACCCUUGCAUCCAAACACCUAUUUGGCUAGAGUUAGUUGAGGGCUAGUCAUGAGUUAGAGAAUAACUAUAACCUCUAACUUAGUUAGAGUAUCCAAACAGGGCCAUAGUAUCCAUAUUAUCUAGGCUAUUUUUAGUUUUUUUUUAAACAAAAAUUAAAUUCCAACAGAUGUGCUAUUUAGUUUGCUAUCUCUAAACUUUUGCUUGUCAUAUAUAACAUGUCGUUCUUACUGGCUAUCUUAUACAAAAACUGUUGUGGAACUCUACGCUUUGGGUAAUUUUUUUAUUUUACACAAUGACUAAAACUUAUAGUUUAGAAUAUAAUUUUAUCUAGUCUUUUGGAGAUGCUCUCAUAAACUAUGAUCCACGUUAUCUAUAUCUUAUAUAUUAGUUAUCUAUCUAUAUUUAUAUCUAUCUAUGUCUAUUUCUAUAUCUUUAUCGAUCUAUUAGUUAGUUUCAGUUGAACUUUUUCUAAUACUAUCCUCAGUCCCAAAUUAUAAACUGUUUUGGUAAUUUUUCCAGGUACAUUGUUUUUAAUACACGAUAUAUCUAGAUAUACAAUAAAAGUUGUGUAUAAAAAGCUAACGAAGGCGGAAGUAUGUUUUACUCCCAUGGAUGUACAUUUGGGUUUAGAUGCUGCCAUAUGUUGGCUCAUCCCGGGGCAACGACGACAAUGAUUGGCUCCCAUCCACCCAUGCCGUGACACCAAACAAAUGUGUAGGGGCAACUAUAUAUGAACCAAAACUCUUUUUUUUGACGCGUUUCAUUUCAUUCCCUUUUGUCUUUGGCCAUUGUUGCCACCCUAGCUAGCUACGGUCGUUAGAAAAGUGGCUUGUUAAUUAUGCACCAAGCAGGCGGUGAGCGAUCGAGGUGGUAGUGGACCGGUGGUGCCACUACAGAUGGUGGUGAACUAGAACGGGUAGUGUUUUCUCGAAGAAUUAGCGUGAGCAUGCAUGCACACUACGUGCGCGCAUUUUCAUUGUGAAGAAAAGCAGAGCACUAGUAUCGAUCGCUCUAGAUUUCUAGCUAGAUCUUUGACGUUAUAUUUAACUCUUCGCUUCAGCUUAUCCACCGAGACAGCCAGAUAUUUAAUAUUAUUUUUCUCUUAUAACAAAUUAGUGAAUAAUAUUUUAACUAUAGCUUUUCAUCCAAACGUAUAUGUAAUUUGUAUGUGGACUGCUGCACAAGUUCACAAAAGUGGUCUGUGGGCCAGGUGUACGUACGCACAGACGAAGAGUCUGCUGGACGAACAGUGCAGCGUAUUCAGACGGGUAGCUGGGUUUUUGGUGUAACAGCGCUGAAUGAACAGCCUUGGGAUUAACGACAAGCUUUUAGUUAUCUUAUCUAAUUAGAAAAGAAAAAUUCAAAUUGAUGAGCUCCUACGUUUGCCGUUUGGAGCGACCGGAGGCGCCACCCACCUUUUGACCUUGGACUCCUGCUGCUGCUGCUGCUGCUGACUCUGCAAGUCUGCUGCACGAUACUCCGACUGGCUACCUGCUACGGCCGUACGUUGGCCGUGGCCUGGCUCGCUCGCUUCCCCCCUGCACAAACAUCAAGUCAAGGCCUUGUUUAUUUUUUAGAUUUUCCGUUACAUCGAAUCUUUAGAUACAUAUAUAGAGUAUUAAAUAUAAAUGAAAAUAAAAACUAAUUGCAUAGUUUGGUCGGAAUUGACGAGAUGAAUCUUUUGAGCCUAGUUAGUCUAUGAUUAAACAGUAUUUGUCAAAUACAAACAAAAGUACUACAGUGUCGAUUUUCCAAAAAAAAUUUAUAACUAAACAAGGCCCAAGAUUCUCCGUCUCCACUCUCCAGCUGGUACGGAGUGACCGCCCCACGGCUGACCGAACGCCUGGUUCGUUUGGCUGGUACAAAUCAGGGUAAGGCGUGUUCAAUGACAUGAAUUUAUUAAGCUAAUUAAUCU